rnacentral:rRNA from 1 species
UGGGGAAUCUUCCGCAAUGGGCGCAAGCCUGACGGAGCAACGCCGCGUGAGUGAAGAAGGGUUUCGACUCGUAAAGCUCUGUUGUCGGGGACGAAUGUGGAGAUGGUGAAUAACCAUUUCUAAUGACGGUACCUGACGAGGAAGCCACGGCUAACUACGUGCCAGCAGCCGCGGUAAUACGGAGGAUGCGAGCGUUAUCCGGAUUUAUUGGGUUUAAAGGGUGCGCAGGCGGCGUGCCAAGUCAGCGGUCAAAGUUCCGGGCUCAACCCGGUGAUGCCGUUGAAACUGGUAUGCUUGAGUGCGUGCGAGGGAGGCGGAAUGCGUUGUGUAGCGGUGAAAUGCAUAGAUAUGACGCAGAACUCCGAUUGCGAAGGCAGCUUUCCAGCACGCCACUGACGCUGAGGCACGAAAGCGUGGGGAUCGAACAGGAUUAGAUACCCUGGUAGU